rnacentral:rRNA from 1 species
GACAGAGGCCUCGAGCGUUAGGCGGAAUCACUGGGCUUAAAGCGUGUGUAGGCGGACCUCUAAGUACCUUGUGAAAUCCCACGGCUCACCCGUGGAACCGCUGGGUAUACUGGGGGUCUUGGGCCACUCAGGGGCGACUGGAACAAGCGGUGGAGCGGUGAAAUGCGUAGAUAUCGCUUGGAACGCCGAAGGUGAAAACAGGUAGCUGGGGCUGUGCUGACGCUGAGACACGAAAGCCAGGGGAGCGAACGGG